UCCUUCUAAGGGAAAUCUCCAUUUAUAAGUGUCUCCCCUUCUGUUCUGGGAAGAGAAGAUUACUGAAUCUCUAGAUGAUACUCUUACCAAUGGAGAAGGCAAGUAUACCCCUGUUUAUUUUGCUUUGCUUGAUAACCUUACAUAACUGUCUUAUCUCUCCCUUUCCCAACAUCUUCUUUUGUCUUUAUCUGGAGCUGCUAUGUAAGGUGUGGCUUGGGCCAUUUUGGGGGAGGUUCUCCCAGGUAUACAUGUUAUUAAACUGCUAUGUGUUUUUCUCCUGCCUUUAAGUAUAAGGGGUCUCAACCCAGAACCUAGAUUAGAGGGAAAAUUAUUUUUCCUCCCCAUCAGUUUGUCGCCCCAUGAUAGGACCCACUGAGACACCAUAGUCACUCCAGAGCCUGCACCUGGGAUCCUGAAAGAUGAGUAGAAGCUGGUGGCAAAAAGCUAAAUCUGGGAGUGAACAUUUUGGUUCAUGGGGGCUGCACCUUCUGCAAUUCCUUUUUUUUUGGUCCUUUGUUAAGCCAUUAAGAGCUUAUUGGUUUGCAUCACUAUUGAGAUACAUAUAACAUUGAAGAUCCUACUUGUCAUUGGCCAGAUGAUGAAUCUUUUGAACUGGAAAAACUUUUAUAUUGGAAAACAUUUUUAAACAACUGUCUUAACACUGCAAAGAAGACACAAAGGAAUAUGGCAUCUAACCUUGGGGAUUUUAUUUUGUUAAGGAAACCCCUAUUUUUUUUUUUUUUAAACUUCCAGCUUCAAAAGAUCCUACCAAAGGCACAGAAAAAUUGGAAAGAUCCAUGAACUUUCACAUUUCCACCUACAUGGAACUUAACUGGCUGCUAAGGAGGGGUCUCAGCCAAGACCCGGGAAGGGUAGAAGAAAACUUCUUUUUCCUCCCCUAUAUGAGCACAUAGUGGACACUUGGAACCCGGACGAUUAUUGGAGAAAUGGCCUUGGAAGUCCCCCUUGAGCAGAACAGAGCUUGAACUUCUGGCAGGUGGAAGAGAACAUCAACUGAAUGUAAUCAUUACAGUCAAAAGUACAGUGGGGAGAAAGCAUAGGACAUGCCUGGAGAGAGGACUGGAAAGUCAGUCAGUGCUAGGGACAGCUUGUGGAUGUCUUUGACUGGCAAACCAAGGGGACUUCAGUGAGCUGGGCUAGGGGAUGUGUGGAGAAGUGAUAUUAAAACGUUCUGGGAGAGAAGUCCAUGAGAUUUAAAGCAGAAGCAGUGGGAAAGGAGAGAAGACAGAUGGCCUGGAUUGAAAGAGGUCCAGUGAUUAAUGGUGCUGGAUGUAAGGAGAGCGCAAAGCAGCUGCCAGUUCCUGGUGGAACAAUCAGCUGGCAUCAGAGCAGGGCUCAGCCCAGAGCCUCAGGCUCUUGUUCUGCCCCAAGGAUCAGUGUGUGGUGGUGGUGGUGG